rnacentral:tRNA from 1 species
GCUGAAGUGGUGGAAUCGGUAGACACGCUGUCUUGAGGGGGCAGUGAGGGAAACCUUGUGUGGGUUCAAAUCCCACCUUCAGCA